UCACAUCUACAGUACUUGUUACCCGAAGGAAGAACAAGAUCCCAAACAGUCAUCACUGCUGUCUUGUAGAAAACUGAACUGAAAAUGAAGUUUAUUUCCUUGGCAAUUCUUGUGGUCCUCAGCAUGUGUGUCCUCCACUGCACCACCGCACAGCGCUCCGAGAGCAGCAGGCAGGAAGAGGUUGGUGAUGAAGAACUGCAGAUGGAUGACGUCAUGAUUUUCUCAGCUGAGAAGAGUCAGAUGGAACAGUCGAACUUCAGGGCAAAGCGGAGCGGCCGAUCGUGCAGAUUCUGCUGCAAGAAUGGACACUGUGGAAUCUGCUGCUCUUUCUGAGGUGGCUGUGGCUUCUGUAGUAGCCAGAAGAAAGCAUAUCUUAGGAUCUGAGUAUUUACGAGGGAAGCCAACGUGUACUCUGCUGCAUCAUAAAAUAAAAGCUCCACGUCUUGCAAGUGAAAUGUAAACAUUGUUUCAUCUGGUUUGAUGCCCACAAGUACCUACUCAUCAAACGAUGGUAAAUCUGUUCUGGUUGACAAGUGUUAUUUUCAUCAAAAUCUCAAAACGCAUCUCUCUUAACGUCAAUGACUGACCGAGGAGUCAGGGCUAGAAAGACCCCUGAACUGGAGGGGCGUCUGAUUUUUAUCAUCUCUUUGUUGAUAAAUGUACUCAGCAAGGUGAAAUACAACAUACAUGGGCCAUCAAAUGUACUUUUGGUGCUUAUUUGUCAUUCACAUAUUGUCCAAU